rnacentral:lncRNA from 1 species
ACACCAUGCCAUGCACGAAAGACGUUCUUUUACUUCAUACAAAGCGUGCAUCAUAUCAAUGCCACAUAUGGAAAAGUGCACUCCAACCAGUUAUGUCACCCCCUUCAAUCAGCGAGUUUGGUUGGGAAGUAAACAAAGAGCAAGUCAAUAUCAGAUGGAUGACCAUGCCGGCAGCUCCUGAUGGAAUUCUGGAAAACGUUAACUGUGGUUGUAAGUCUGGAUGUUCAACAAGACGUUGUGCGUGUCAAAAAGCAGAACUGAAGUGUACUGGUCUUUGUUCCUGUUGCGAUUGCACAAAUUCUUCCGACCCGAAUACAGACGAGAACGAUUUGUCAGAUGACGACGAUGAUGAUGGCCUAUUAUUCGAACUUGAUGGCGACGACACUGGAUUCGAUGGCAUAUUUGAAGUAAUAUUUCAAAUCCGACUAUGAGGACUAGACUAGAUUUCAAGUCCGCGCAAUUUGAUCCGUCCAAGGCGAAGCAGAGGACUGGAUCAAAAUGCGAGGACUUGAAAUCUAGUCCAGUCCGAAUUGGAGGAUUUGAAAUGACAUCUCAUACGAAUAAAUCACUACUUAAUUAAUUUUGAUCCAGUCCAAGGACUGAAUUAAUUUUAAUCCAGUCCUAGGACACUACAGGAUCAUUAUACUUCAUAAGGUAUCCAGUAUUAUCAUGUGAGCAAAAUAAAGCAAUAUGGUUGGCUAAUUUGUUCAUGAAUUAUUAAUGAUUUAAGGUGAACAAUGAUGGUAAUGGACGUAGGUAUUAUCAGUGCAGUAGAUCAGUAUUUAUUUACUUAUUCGAUAUUCUCAUUCGGAUCCACAGUAUUUAUAUUAUCAACACGUAUAACUCUCAUGGACAGGGUUAACAGUAUGGUCAUGUCUGAGAAGCUGAAACGCACCCUGGUGGAGGAGCUGAAACGCACAGCAGCAAAUCUAUAAGAAAAAGUCAACUAGUGUGGACACGAAAAACCAGGUUGAAUCGUUCUUUGUUAUUCUAGAUAGUGGCUAAAUACCAACUUAUGUCACAAUAUAAAUAUAAUAUAUGUAAUAGUUCAAAUACGAGAAGUAGAACUUUACCAGACAAAAGCCAGGACAGCUUAUUGAAGAAUACAUGCAAUCUCGUUUUGAGCGUGUAAGCCUUGGCCAGGAUCCAAUAAGUGGGAUUUUAUUGCUCUGAUGAAAAUCUGGGUUCAAAGAUGAAAACAUUUCUUUCAAUUAUAGAUAGUUAUAAUGAAAUUAUGGAUUUUAUAUUUCCUC